CGGGAUGUAGUCCCGCCCUGGGCGGGACGCUUCGUUCGGGUCGAAGAGGCCGCUUGUUCGAAUCCAGUCAUCCCGACAA
rnacentral:tRNA from 1 species